GCCCAAGUAGCUCAGACGGCAGAGCAACUCCAUGGUAAGGAGUAGGUCCGCGGUUCGAUUCCGCGCUUGGGCU
rnacentral:tRNA from 1 species